AUUGAACGCUGGCGGCAUGCCUUACACAUGCAAGUCGAACGGUAACGGGCCUUCGGGUGUCGACGCGUGGCGCACGGGUGAGUAAUACAUCGGAACGUGCCCGAUCGUGGGGGAUAACGAGGCACAAGCUUUACUAAUACCGCAUACGAUCUACGGAUGAAAGCCGGGGACCGCAAGGCUAUGCGCGGGCGGAGCGGCCGAUGGCAGAUUAGGUAGUUGGUGGGUUAAAAGCUUACCAAGCCGACGAUCUGUAGCUGGUCUGAGAGGAUGAUCAGCCCCACUGGAACGGAGACACGGCCCAGACUCCUACGGGAGGCAGCAGUGGGGAAUUUUGGUCAAUAGGCGGAAGCCUGAUCCAGCCAUGCCGCGUGCAGGAUGAAGGCCUUCGGGUUGUAAACUGCUUUUGUACGGAACGAAAAGCCUUCUUUUAAUACAGGAGGGUCAUGACGGUACCGUAAGAAUAAGCACCGGCUAACUACGUG
rnacentral:rRNA from 1 species